AGCCAAGCUACUAAGGGCACACGGUGGAUGCCUAGGCGCCAAGGGCCGAAGAAGGGCGUGGCUGGCUGCGAUAAGCCCCGGGGAGCCGCCAGCAGGCUGUGAUCCGGGGAUUCCCGAAUGGGGAAACCCGCCUGGGGGAAUGCCCAGGCAUCGCUGGCUGAAUCCAUAGGCCAGCGAGGGGCACCGGCCGAACUGAAACAUCUUAGUAGGCCGAGGAAGAGAAAUCAACCGAGAUUCCCCGAGUAGUGGCGAGCGAAAGGGGAAGAGCCCAAACCUGCGGUGUGCUAAAGGCCGCAGCCGUUGCACCGCAGGGGUUGCAGGCCAGCAGCGGGAGCCACUGCGGGGGCUCCAGGAAGUGAAAAAUCCUUCCCUUAGCGGAAGCGUCCUGGAACGGCGCGCCAUAGAGGGUGAAAGCCCCGUACGCGAAAGGGGAAGGACUUCCGGGCUGCUGAGCCUGAGUCCCCCGGGACACGUGGAACCCUGGGGGAAGCAGGGGGGACCACCC
rnacentral:rRNA from 1 species